rnacentral:piRNA from 1 species
UGGCAGAAGAAGCAUCAUGGGCCUUGG